AAGACUAGUCGCGGUCGUUGUUAAAUUAUGAUUGUUACUGUUAUUCGUAUCCUUAUUGGUGUUUACAUUAUUGCUACGGCGAUGGUUCGGAGAGUCAGUCAGUCUUUUCGGAAACUGCGCGUACCGUGCCACGCUCGCUUGUGACAUGGUAGUGUAUAUAGUACGCGUAAUAAGUAACGAGAAACGCGAUACGAAUUGUUCGACGUUCCUGGUUUUUUUUUUCUCCGUCGCCCUGCGAACACUAUUGAUUUUAUUCGGUUUAUUCCCUUCCGGUCAAAUUUUAUUUCAUGUUAAGAACAUUGCAGAUGAAUGCAGAAGUGAUGCAGAAUGAUCCAGAAUAUAUGAUAUACUUCAACUUUUAAGAGCAUAAAAGUUCAACAAAUGUUUAGGAUUCCAAAUACAUAUAUAACACAAUGGUGUAUUACAAACAUCUUAAACUGAAUGCUACUUUCGGAAUGCAAUAGAAGGUCCAAAUAUCGAGUGAACGAUUUUAUAUUAAAUGGUCAGCAGAGAUCUUACUUAGAAUACGAUAAAAUAUUUUCUGAGAUGCAGUCUUAACAAUUCAUUAUAAACUUGUGAAUAUAAAACUGUUACAAGUAAAUACAUUUGUUUGAGAGAUGGUGAACUACGGAAAAAUUAACCUCUUAAGAAAAAUUUAACACUAUACAAUCAGCGACAAAUCCGAUAAGAAACAUUAUACAAGCUGUGGCAAUUUAUUUUAUAUAUCAACGAUAUUAUAUAUACUAUAUAGUACGUAACAUGUACCUAUGCGUACAUCGUUUAAUUAUUUAGAUUAUAUUGCGUCUUGCGCACAAAAUAGUAAGGUAGUCUAUUUGUAUUUUUAAGUUUUACUUACAUCAUUUUUUAACAUACUAAAAAUUUCUUUACUUUUGAUAAUUUUUCUUGUCGCAGCUUACAUACAGCCAUUUGUUUUUCACGAUUAAAUUUAAAUCUAUGGUUUACGAUAAGAAAAAUUUAGGUCACCUAGGACGCUUCAUUGUUAACACGGAUACAAACAAAAUAAAAUACUAGUGAAUUACAUUUGUACUCGAGUACAGCAUUUGACCUAACCCAACGCAGUGAACUGUGGAUACAUAUUGAAAAUUAGUAUUUCCCCUCCCCCUCCUCUUUUCGAAAAUUAACCGUUCGGAAAUAACCGGUAAUAUUCGUUAAUUUAUUUAUUUUUUUCUUCUUACUGUUCCUCUGUUUCUUCUCUUGUUUCUGUUCACCGUACAGUAGUAACAUGCGCGCGUAUACGUAUACGAUAAUGUAUUCACGGUGUAAAGAACGUAACCGAACGCGUAUAAUAUACGGCGGUCCCUAGACGUACGCUUACACCGGGCGAAUGAUAAUGAUUAUAAUAACUGUUGCACGCGUCUGUUGUAAUUGCCGGAGAAAGAAAGGAGAACCUAUUCCUUUCGGCGGCGGCGUCCCCCGUCGCGUGACGGCCGGAGAUCGUAAGACCGCGAAACGUCUUCCGCGUGUUCAGCGACUAUGACGGCGGCGGCUGCUGCUGCUGCUACUGUCGCUCCGACGCGUGCGUCUAACGUAUAUUGUCUCCCGGACCAUGACACCAGAACAUUGUUAUACAGAGCGCGUGCUCAAGUACAGGCACCCAAUGCCUAACCGGGUCGUUCGGUAAAAUGGGAAGAUUCUGACAGGGAUAAAAAAAAAAAAAAUGUGUUUCGUACAUUUUUGUUGUCGGGAACAUAAUCAACACUAUGUUUGCCAUUAGCCAAACCCAUUAAGAUGGUCGGAAAAAUAUCGCGUCUCAAAACCGAUGCUCGUAAGAUAAUGGUGUUCACUGUAAUCCAUUCCUAAAAUGAGCGUUGUCCGAUUUAAACAAAUUGUCAACGAAACGGGGUUAGAUGGUUAUAUUUUUCGUACUUUCUCCGAUGAACCAUGGUCGCAGAUAAUUGUUUAAAAUUUCCUAGAAGACCCUGUGCAAGAGUUAUUUAGUUCGAUCGCAUUGUAUGCAGUGUAAUAUCAAUAUGUAUACUCGUAAGUGUGAAACGAACGCGAUGAUGUCGUUACAGAGAAGCUCGUGUCCAGCCAGGUGGGGAUCGCUGCGUCCAAGGCCAAGAAAGGGAUGAUCGCGCCGCGUCUUGAAUAGAACAUUGUGUUAUAAUACAGCGCGUGCGCACCGGGCGCGAGUGUGCAUCGUAUCAAGCAAACCUUAUAUCCGGUCCAUUAUACGCGUGCGUACAAUAAUUGGCUACCGAUGACGAGCGAUUUAAUCGAAACUUGAAUGUUACCACGCGCCGCUGACAAUACAUAUAACAUAUUAUUGCCGUUGGUCAUGUCAUACCUCUUACUUCGACAAUACUUCGGUGUUCGUACAAUAUUUAUUUUAGUAAGUUCAAGCAAGCUACUGAAUGUAGUAAGCCCAAGGCUAGGCGUAUUUUAUAAUCAGCAUUUAAUUAAUCAAUAUUUAAUAAUCAAAAAUAACUUAUUACGCAUAUUAAUAAAU